GUUCUUGCAAUUGCAAUGACUUACCUAAGGUUUGAUUUCAUUUUCGGCUCCUAUGGUUAACCCCGUUUGUUCAACCAGGUUUUUAUACGAAACUUAGAGCAUAAUAUUUUCCGUUCUUCUUUUUGAAACUUACUGUCACUUGUGGCGUGCAUAUUUUAUUUUGUUCAUGGGCACACACAACUAGUGGGCCCUAGCUAGCCAACAUUUGUUUUCGCUUGCGGAAUCGAAACAUGUCUUAUCUUCUUUUUGGUUGCUCUCUUGCUCUCGCCUUCUUCCUUUCUACUACGAUCAUGUAGAUCUACUUUCUUUCGGCUUCUACUGAACGUUUCUACAACCGGUUGCCGCAAGUCGGUCAUCGAGUAUUGACAUGUAUUACGCUAGUCUCGGUGGUUCUUCCCAUGUCGCUCCAAUUUGUGGCAACCAAGAAAACCCCAAUGGAGGUCGAUGCAGUUCAUGAAAUGGAGGAAAUCCCCUGCUUUACAAGAAAAGAUUUCUUAAAAAAGAUUGGUAUUGCAAAAUCUGCUUUCACUCAAGUCACAACUCCGCUUCAGACAAAAGAAGGGUUCACUUUUUUUGUUAAUGUGAUCAACGAACAAGACACAACUUAUUUUACUGGCAGGUAUUGGAAACAAUUCUUGGAAUUGUACCGGCUUUGGGUGGUAAAGAAAUGAGCGUCACUUUAGCUGGUGACACCGAUCGAUCAAACUGGAUAAAGCACACAAAAACAUCAUCUAGAGCAUUGAUACUACAUUUGGAACAACAAAAACCUGGGAAGACAUUGGCCAUGCUAACAAGUUUAUUAAGCAUAUUCAGAAUCCUGAUGAUACAUUUGUUCUGUUCCUACACACUUUCAUGAAGACUAACAUUAAGAAGAAACUCCCGAGACUACCGAAAAGUGCGAUGCCUAACAUCACCAAUGAAGCAGGCUUUAUCAAGAUUAUUUUGGAUCCCACUAUAGAAUUCACAUGUAUGUACACAUGUUCAAUCGAUGAUCGUGUCAUUGUCAAAGGAUGGCCAUAAAUACUCAAGCUGACAAGAUUUAAAGUUGGAGAGAAACUCUUGUUCAUCAAGCAGGAGGAUACUAAAGGGGGUCUCCUGUUUGUUGUUUCAAUUUCUAUGUCCACUUAGAUUUAUCUUACGAUGUUCCAACUGUAUGGAGAAACCCUAUGUGUAGGGGAAGUUGCAUGGAAAACAAAAAAAAAUUCCUAUGGAUUC